ensembl:lncRNA AABR07071383.1
AUCCUGGUGGCCUGUAGGUGAGAUAGAAGACAGAGGAUAACGGUGUUCCUGCUAGGAGGUAUUUCACCAAUUGCUUUCCACUAUUGGGAAGUUGAUUACUGGCAUGGGGCCGGGGAUGAAAAGAUGUUUUCAUUGCUAGACAACAGGAAAUGAGAAGAGCAACAGAAACCCAAGUAACAAGGUCAUCAAGAUUUGAAGACACCAGGGAUCCUAUGGGCUGCAGCCUCAACCUGAGAGCCGGAGCAAACCCUCCACCCUUAGUUGGCUUUGGAGGACAUUUUGUCACAGUACGAAAGGUAAUGUACACGCGGUUAACAUCUCUACUUAUAUCAAUUUCAUAUGUGUGUGGCAGUUCAGUAAGAUGGCCUGGGGGGGAAGAACCCAGUGUUGUGCUAGGUAGUAUCAGAUGUAACGUAAUCCCCCUUGCCCUAUACUCCUGAGAGCAAAGGACAAACACACACGUGUGUAAUCCUAUCUGCAUUCUCACGGUCAAGCUAAGGGCACAGCAAAUAGACUAAGGGACUUGUUGAACUAUGUCACUAUGUCACUAUUGCGGGAUAGGUGAUCCUUCUGAAAUCGGUUCCUUAUUCUCAACACUGGACUUAGUCAGUUACGGGCAGUAAAGUUCCGUUUAGGGGGAAGUAAAACCCAACACCUCUCAAAAUGAACAGACAGAGGGAAAUCUGUUUUCAUUUUCAUGUGGGCAACAGAAAAGAAAUGUCUUAAAUACCAUGCACAGAAUAGUAGGGCUUAAGUAAUAUCCGAGAACGAACACUUGGCCCUAGGAAGGUCCAGUGGGAGUUCCACUGAUCAGCUGGGUCAUUCUGAUAAAGCUUGGGAACUUACCAGGGGAAGAGGGAGGCACGUGACUUUAAUGUUGUAGGUGAAAUUUAGUUACAAGUUCAACUCGUGUAGCCAAAUGGGUUGGCGGAAGGCAGGGUGUGCAGAAACUCAUUAGGUAUGCAUUAAUUAAGCGGCUCAUUAUUGCAUCCAUUUGUUAAUUAAAUUUUUGAAGAAUUGCAAUUACAGCCUUUCGUCGUCACCUGGCAGACCUUCAGGCCCCAGCUGUACAAGAUGCAGAUGAGCGACUUCAGCUUUCAGACUUUAUUUUCUGGCUGUGCCCUCGGGCCUUUUUUUCUUAGAUGGUGAUCUUUUGGGCAGAAAGAUAACUGAAAGUUGACGAUUCUGACUAUGAGGAAAGGCAAUUUGGCUUCAACCUCUCCAUGUCACCCAAGGCUCUCAGAAGGAAGGGACAUUGUUAUUAAAAUUACUUCACUGUUACUGAUUGUUUUCGGGAAAUUAGCUUUUCUAGCUUGUGUUGUGUGUUGUGACAAAUGUACAGAUCCAUGUAUGUACCACUCUAAUAAAACCGCCUUGGUCAGCCACGAAAAGCCACUUUCCUAGCCCCGUGUCCCUGUCUGUGGCUUCCAACAGCCACUCAUCUGGCCUCCGCCUUUCAUUUUGAUUUUCAAGAAAGCUGUUCCAAUGGAAUCAUAUCGAAUGUAACCUUUUGAGACUUUUUCGGAGCUGGGGACCGAACCCAGGGCCUUGCGCUUCCUAGGCAAGCGCUCUACCACUGAGCUAAAUCCCCAACCCCUUGAGACUGACUUCUAAGCAGCUUUUCAAUGAGGAUAUAAAAUUAGAUCAUUUCCCUCUCUUUCUCCCUUUGGAUUCUGCACAUGGCCCUACCUUUCUCCCUCCCAGAUUCGUGGCCUCUUUUCCCUUUACUUGUUAUUGUUACAUUAUAUGUGCAUAACUAUAGAAAUACAG